GACGAACCGUGCGAACGUUAUUCGGAAUCACUGGGCUUAAAGCGCGUGUAGGCGGCCCGGCACGUCCACUGCUGAAAUCCCCCGGCUCAACCGGGGAAGUGGCAGGGAUACGACCGGGCUGGAGGGGGGUAGGGGGAGCUGGAACUCACGGUGGAGCGGUGAAAUGCGUUGAGAUCGUGAGGAACGCCCGUGGCGAAAGCGGGCUCCUGGGCCCCACCUGACGCUGAGACGCGAAAGCCAGGGGAGCGAACGGG
rnacentral:rRNA from 1 species